rnacentral:rRNA from 1 species
UACGUAGGGUGCAAGCGUUAAUCGGAAUUACUGGGCGUAAAGCGCGCGUAGGCGGAUCGCUAAGUCAGGGGUGAAAUCCCAGGGCUCAACCCUGGAACUGCCUUUGAUACUGACGGUCUGGAGAUCGGGAGAGGUUGGUGGAAUUCCGAGUGUAGAGGUGAAAUUCGUAGAUAUCGGGAGGAACACCGGUGGCGAAGGCGGUUCUCUGGGCCUGUACUGACGCUGGAGGAGCGAAAGCGUGGGGAGCGAACAGG